rnacentral:lncRNA from 1 species
GACGGUCUGCUGCCCCCCAUCGGUCCCCGCCCGUCCAGCAUCUUGCCUUGGCCUCCUCUGGCCCGGGACUGCCGGGUUUUAGCUCUCCUCGCCGCCGAGGGCUCUGGCUCUCUCUCGCUAGAGGGAUGCCACCGCCCUGUCCUCCCGUCCUCGGCGUUGCCUUCCCCUCCCUCUCCCACUGACGCCUUGAAAACCCUUAUUUGCGCAUUCACUCACGCUUGAGGGUGAGGUAGGGUGGGGCGGUGGUGGGGGGGCGUGGGGACGGCUAAGAUAUGGCAGAAAAUGUAGCAGCUCAGUGACUGGGCUUUUCGUUACGAGUAGGACAACCCAAGCUCGGUGAAUAUGGGCACACACAAAAAACACUCCGAAACCGAACGCUUGGUCUCCAUGCCCUUCCUGGGUUCCUUCCAGCGCUCUUACUCCCGUUGUAGGUGGGGACCCUUUAUAGGCUCUUUGUGACGCCUCCCCAGGCACACCCAGACGACUAAGCUGCAGUGAAAAACAUGUCCCAGUUCAUCGGUGAACAGGGAGUAGAAUAUGGACAGUAUUGAAUAAUGCCAGAUACUAAAGGAAGAAAACGUGCGAGAAACCCUCUUGUUUAUACAGGAUAAUAACAUUUUCUUAGCCCCAUCUUCGUAUGGUGCCGUACACCUGAAAUGAAACUAGAUGUCUUUAAUUUGAAGUCAACGAUUAUGUUACAAAAUAGAAAAUCGAGUCGCUUAAAAAUCAAAUGCCAAGGUCACACAGCAGGUGGAGAGUUAAAAGAUUAAGAGUUUCUCUAACUACGGCUACCCUACAAAAGUCACAUUUUCCCCCUUUUUCCAGUCACUCUCUGAAAGAGAACAAAGUAAUUUUCUGAAGGGAAGCUGCAGAAUAUGGAAAACAUAUAUUGGAGCUACAUGGAAUUUCAAGGUUGAUAAAGAACCUCUACGUGAAAAUAUCGAAAUGUUUAAGCAGCCUCUGAAGUCUUUCUUAAGCCUCAUAAUAAUGGAUGGACUUUAGAAAGCUAAAAAUCAUUUCAAAUAUGCUGAUCAUUUUUAAAUUUUUUUACUCAUUUAAAAAAUAUGCUGAUCUUUUGUUUUAAAUGUCAAAUUUAAUUAAAUUCAUGGAGCAAAAAUAAUAUCCUUGAGGCCAGGCACAAUGGCUCACA